UACGUAGGUGGCAAGCGUUGUCCGGAUUCAUUGGGUUUAAAGGGUGCGUAGGCGGCCCGGUAAGUCAGUAGUGAAAUAUCGCAGCUUAACUGUGAGGGUGCUAAUGAUACUGCCGGGCUAGAGUGCAGACGAGGCAGGCGGAAUUGACGGUGUAGCGGUGAAAUGCUUAGAUAUCGUCAAGAACACCGAUAGUGUAGACAGCUUACUAGACUCUAACUGACGCUGAGGCACGAAAGUGUGGGGAUCAAACAGGAUUAGAUACCCCUGUAGUCC
rnacentral:rRNA from 1 species